GCAUAUCAAUAAGCGGAGGAAAAGAAACUAACAAGGAUUCCCCUAGUAACGGCGAGUGAAGCGGGAUGAGCUCAAAUUUAAAAUCUGGUGUCCUUUGGGCAUCCGAGUUGUAGUCUAGAGAAGCAUUUUCCGUGUCGGACCAUGUACAAGUCUCCUGGAACGGAGCGUCAUAGAGGGUGAGAAUCCCGUUUCUUGACAUGGACCCCCGAUGCUUUGUGAUGUGCUCUCAAAGAGUCGAGUUGUUUGGGAUUGCAGCUCAAAAUGGGAGGUAAAUUCCUUCUAAAGCUAAAUAUUGGCGAGAGACCGAUAGCGAACAAGUACCGUGAGGGAAAGAUGAAAAGCACUUUGGAAAGAGAGUUAAACAGUACGUGAAAUUGUUAAAAGGGAAACGAUUGAAGUCAGUCGCGUCUGCUUGGACUCAGCCUUACUUCGGUUUGGUGCAUUUCCUUGUAGACGGGCCAACGUCAAUGUUAACCGCUGGAAAAAGGUGUAGGGAAUGUGGCUCUUUCGGGAGUGUUAUAGCCCUAUGUCAUAUGCAGUGGUCGAUAUUGAGUGUAACAGCACGCUUUUGUGGUGCUUGUGUUGGCAUAAUGGCUUUAAACGACCCGUCUUGAAACACGGACC
rnacentral:rRNA from 1 species